GCGUCAGGACUUCUGGGCUACGCUUUGAGUAUUUCUAUCUUAGUGCAGUGAUUGAAUAGCAGUAACAAAAUAAGAAGAGAAGCAGAUGGUAGUACAGAAAUAUCCUUGGUUUAUUCAGAUGAACCCAGAAGAAUGAAUAUCCUAAUGACUGGAUGCUACAUGUUUUUAAGCAUAUAGGUGACUGGUUGUUGCUGACUGCUGGGGACAGGACCAUUGCUCCCAGUGUGACCAGCACAGAUGGGUAUGGAGCCAUAUGGGAAACGCCCUGCUCAACCAUUACCACUCACAGUUAAGAAGAUUGCUCCUGAAACAUCCCCAGUUCCUGCUGGCUCAGUAAGCAGGACUCAAAUGGAUUUCUGGAAAUGUAAACAUUCUUAAUACAGGUUAAUUCCCACUUCCUUUGUGUGUUUAUGACUUUUAGUGACUGCAGUCCACAGACUGUCAAUAAGAAAUAAAAAUGAUUGAAGUAUCA